rfam:Myotis brandtii contig244550, whole genome shotgun sequence.
GGCGGUUCUUGGGUGAUGCACCCUGGAAUUGGGCUCCCUCCUCUCCGGGUGCGUCACCUAAGAACCACA